rnacentral:misc_RNA from 1 species
UGCAGCCAUAGGAGGUGCAGGACGUGCUGCAAGAGUCGUGGUUAUGAUUGCACUACUCACGUCAAAAGCACGUGGGUACCGGCGGCCAGGAGGAGAGAGCGUCAGCUAAUGGCAGCUGCAGCCGGAGGAGGUGCUGGUUCUUCUGGGUCUACUUCCGGGGUCAAGAAACCUCGACUCAUAAAUUCACAAACCACCACAACUUCUCAUACUUCCAC